CCCUUAGAUGUUCUGGGCUGCACGCGCGCUACACUGAAGCGUUCAACGAGUAUUCACCUUGCCCGGGAGGGUUGGGUAAUCUUUUGAAAACGCUUCGUGAUGGGGAUAGAUUAUUGCAAUUAUUAAUCUUCAACGAGGAAUUCCUAGUAAGCGCGAGUCAUCAGCUCGUGCUGAUUACGUCCCUGCCCUUUGUACACACCGCCCGUCGCACCUACCGAUUGAGUGAUCCGGUGAAUAAUUCGGACUGCAGCACUGCUUGGUCUCCAGGCUUUGCAGCGGAAAGUUUAGUGAACCUUAUCACUUAGAGGAAGGAGAAGUCGUAACA
rnacentral:rRNA from 1 species